rnacentral:rRNA from 1 species
UGGCGGACGGGUGAGUAAUGUCUGGGAAACUGCCUGAUGGAGGGGGAUAACUACUGGAAACGGUAGCUAAUACCGCAUAACGUCGCAAGACCAAAGAGGGGGACCUUCGGGCCUCUUGCCAUCGGAUGUGCCCAGAUGGGAUUAGCUAGUAGGUGGGGUAACGGCUCACCUAGGCGACGAUCCCUAGCUGGUCUGAGAGGAUGACCAGCCACACUGGAACUGAGACACGGUCCAGACUCCUACGGGAGGCAGCUG